rnacentral:rRNA from 1 species
GACGAACGCUGGCGGCAGGCUUAACACAUGCAAGUCGAACGCUCCGCAAGGAGAGUGGCAGACGGGUGAGUAACACGUGGGAACGUACCCUUUACUACGGAACAACUCCGGGAAACUGGAGCUAAUACCGUAUGUGCCCUUUGGGGGAAAGAUUUAUCGGUAAAGGAUCGGCCCGCGUUGGAUUAGCUAGUUGGUGGGGUAAAGGCCUACCAAGGCGACGAUCCAUAGCUGGUCUGAGAGGAUGAUCAGCCACAUUGGGACUGAGACACGGCCCAAACUCCUACGGGAGGCAGCAGUGGGGAAUAUUGGACAAUGGGCGCAAGCCUGAUCCAGCCAUGCCGCGUGUGUGAUGAAGGCCUUAGGGUUGUAAAGCACUUUCACCGGAGAAGAUAAUGACGGUAUCCGGAGAAGAAGCCCCGGCUAACUUCGUGCCAGCAGCCGCAGUAA